CAGAGNUAGGGANNGGGAGAGGCNGACGGUANUCAGNGGGUAGGGGUAAAAUCNUNUGAUCCAUUGAGGACCNCCAGUGGCGAAGGCGGUCUGCCAGAACACGUUCGACGGUGAGGGAUGAAAGCUGGGGGAGCAAACCGGAUUAGAUACCCGGGUAGUCCCAGCUGUAAACGAUGCAAACUCGGUGAUGCAUUGGCUUAUGGCCAAUGCAGUGCCGCAGGGAAGCCGUUAAGUUUGCCGCCUGGGAAGUACGGACGCAAGUCUGAAACUUAAAGGAAUUGGCGGGGGAGCACCACAAGGGGUGAAGCCUGCGGUUCAAUUGGAUUCAAC
rnacentral:rRNA from 1 species